rnacentral:tRNA from 2 species
GCCACUGUGGCGGAAUUGGCAGACGCGCAGCGUUCAGGUCGCUGUUCGGGGUUUCCUGAGUGCAAGUUCGACUCUUGUCAGUGGCA